rnacentral:rRNA from 1 species
GACGAACGCUGGCGGCGUGCCUAAUACAUGCAAGUCGAACGCAGUGGGGACGGGUGAGUAACACGUGGGUAACCUCCCAUCAGAGGGGAUCACACUUGGAAACAGGUGCUAAACCGAUACUGAUGGAUGGACCCGCGGUGCAUUAGCUAGUUGGUGAGGUAUCGGCGUACCAAGGCCACGAUGCAUAGCCGACAUGAGAGUGUGAUCGGGAAAACGGAGACUGAGACACUGCCGAGACUCCUACGGUGGGCAGAAGGAGGGAAUCUUCGGCAAUGGACUAAAGUCUGACAGAGCAACUCCGCGGGAGUGAAGAAGGUUAUCGGAUCGUAAAACUUUGUUAGUAGGGAAGCGGUAUGUAACCAGAAAUCCACGGCUCAAUACGUGCCAGCAGCCGGGGUAAUAC